UUCAUAUCAAAUACUUAAGGCUCCUCAGUCAAUGAGGAUCUGAAAGGGGAAGCCGGUGUAAAUCCGGCGCGGUCCCGCCACUGUGAACAAGGAGUUCUCUCCCGUCCAUUUAGAUCUUGAAAUGAUGGAGAGAAUGAUGAUUUGAAGCCAGAAAACCUUACUUAAGUAAUUCACUGAC
rnacentral:ncRNA from 2 species